rnacentral:rRNA from 1 species
AACGAACGCUGGCGGCAGGCUUAACACAUGCAAGUCGAGCGCCCCGCAAGGGGAGCGGCAGACGGGUGAGUAACGCGUGGGAAUCUACCCAUCUCUACGGAAUAACGCAUGGAAACGUGUGCUAAUACCGUAUACGUCCUUCGGGAGAAAGAUUUAUCGGAGAUGGAUGAGCCCGCGUUGGAUUAGCUAGUUGGUGGGGUAAAGGCCUACCAAGGCGACGAUCCAUAGCUGGUCUGAGAGGAUGAUCAGCCACACUGGGACUGAGACACGGCCCAGACUCCUACGGGGGGCAGCGGUGGGGAAUAUUGGACAAUGGGCGCAAGCCUGAUCCAGCCAUGCCGCGUGAGUGAUGAAGGCCCUAGGGUUGUAAAGCUCUUUCACCGGUGAAGAUAAUGACGGUAACCGGAGAAGAAGCCCCGGCUAACUUCGUGCCAGCAGCCGCCGCGGUAA